GAUGAACUCUAGCGGCAGGCCUAACACAUGCAAGUCGAGGGAGAGGUUACCUUCGGGUAACCAAAACCGGCGCACGGGUGCGUAACGCGUAUACAAUCUGCCUUUCACAUAGGGAUAGCCCGAAGAAAUUUGGAUUAAUACCUACUGGUAUAUAAGAGCGGCAUCGUUUUUAUAUUAAAGCUACGGUGGUGAAAGAUGAGUAUGCGUUCUAUUAGCUAGUUGGAGAGGUAACGGCUCCCCAAGGCGACGAUAGAUAGGGGUUCUGAGAGGGAUGUCCCCCACACUGGUACUGAGAUACGGACCAGACUCCUACGGGAGGCAGCAGUGAGGAAUAUUGGACAAUGGUCGGAAGACUGAUCCAGCCAUGCCGCGUGCAGGAUGAAGGUCCUAUGGAUUGUAAACUGCUUUUGUAAGGGAAGAAUAAGGAGUACGUGUACUUUGAUGACGGUACCUUACGAAUAAGCAUCGGCUAACUCCGUG
rnacentral:rRNA from 1 species